rnacentral:rRNA from 1 species
CCUACGGGAGGCAGCAGUGAGGAAUAUUGCGCAAUGGGGGCAACCCUGACGCAGCGACGCCGCGUGGAUGAUGAAGGCCUUCGGGUUGUAAAAUCCUGUCAGAUGGGAAGAAGUGUGUAGUACUUAAUACGUGCUACAUUUGACGGUACCAUCAAAGGAAGCACCGGCUAACUCCGUGCCAGCAGCCGCGGUAAU